rnacentral:rRNA from 1 species
GAUGAACGCUGGCGGCGUGCCUAAUACAUGCAAGUCGAGCGAACGGACGAGAAGCUUGCUUCUCUGAUGUUAGCGGCGGACGGGUGAGUAACACGUGGAUAACCUACCUAUAAGACUGGGAUAACUUCGGGAAACCGGAGCUAAUACCGGAUAAUAUUUUGAACCGCAUGGUUCAAAAGUGAAAGACGGUCUUGCUGUCACUUAUAGAUGGAUCCGCGCUGCAUUAGCUAGUUGGUAAGGUAACGGCUUACCAAGGCAACGAUGCAUAGCCGACCUGAGAGGGUGAUCGGCCACACUGGAACUGAGACACGGUCCAGACUCCUACGGGAGGCAGCAGUAGGGAAUCUUCCGCAAUGGGCGAAAGCCUGACGGAGCAACGCCGCGUGAGUGAUGAAGGUCUUCGGAUCGUAAAACUCUGUUAUUAGGGAAGAACAUAUGUGUAAGUAACUGUGCACAUCUUGACGGUACCUAAUCAGAAAGCCACGGCUAACUACGUGCCAGCAGCCGCGGUAAUACGUAGGUGGCAAGCGUUAUCCGGAAUUAUUGGGCGUAAAGCGCGCGUAGGCGGUUUUUUAAGUCUGAUGUGAAAGCCCACGGCUCAACCGUGGAGGGUCAUUGGAAACUGGAAAACUUGAGUGCAGAAGAGGAAAGUGGAAUUCCAUGUGUAGCGGUGAAAUGCGCAGAGAUAUGGAGGAACACCAGUGGCGAAGGCGACUUUCUGGUCUGUAACUGACGCUGAUGUGCGAAAGCGUGGGGAUCAAACAGGAUUAGAUACCCUGGUAGUCCACGCCGUAAACGAUGAGUGCUAAGUGUUAGGGGGUUUCCGCCCCUUAGUGCUGCAGCUAACGCAUUAAGCACUCCGCCUGGGGAGUACGACCGCAAGGUUGAAACUCAAAGGAAUUGACGGGGACCCGCACAAGCGGUGGAGCAUGUGGUUUAAUUCGAAGCAACGCGAAGAACCUUACCAAAUCUUGACAUCCUUUGACGACUCUAGAGAUAGAGCCUUCCCCUUCGGGGGACAAAGUGACAGGUGGUGCAUGGUUGUCGUCAGCUCGUGUCGUGAGAUGUUGGGUUAAGUCCCGCAACGAGCGCAACCCUUAAGCUUAGUUGCCAUCAUUAAGUUGGGCACUCUAAGUUGACUGCCGGUGACAAACCGGAGGAAGGUGGGGAUGACGUCAAAUCAUCAUGCCCCUUAUGAUUUGGGCUACACACGUGCUACAAUGGACAAUACAAAGGGCAGCGAAACCGCGAGGUCAAGCAAAUCCCAUAAAGUUGUUCUCAGUUCGGAUUGUAGUCUGCAACUCGACUACAUGAAGCUGGAAUCGCUAGUAAUCGUAGAUCAGCAUGCUACGGUGAAUAAGGUCCCGGGUCU